GACGAACGCUGGCGGCGUGCCUAAUACAUGCAAGUAGGACGCAGUUGCGAACGGGUGAGUAACGCGUAGGUAACUGCCUAUUAGAGGGGGAUAACUAUUGGAAACGAUAGCUAAUACCGCAUACUAGUAGAUGGACCUGCGUUGUAUUAGCUAGUAGGUAGGGUAAUGGGCUACCUAGGCGACGAUACAUAACCGGAACGAGAAGGGGAUGGGCAAACAUAGGGAUGGGGAGAGGCCCAGAAUCCUACGGGAGGCAGCAGUAGGGAAUCGUCGGAAAUUGGGGGAACCCUGACCGAGCAACGCCGCGUGAGUGGAGAAGGUUUGCGGAUCGGAAAGCUCUGUUAUUAAGGAAGCGGUACUAAACCAGAAAGGGACGGCUAACUUCGUGCCAGCAGCCGCGGUAAUAC
rnacentral:rRNA from 1 species